GAGUGAAUUCUCAUAUGGAGGUGUCUCAGAACUGGCAGAAGCAGAUCUCCUUAGUUGCUCAUUUUCAUAUCUAACGCAAAAAUAUCUUGGCUAAGAGCUCCAAGAGAUUUCGUAGUGCAUUUGAUACAGUCAAUUUCCAUGUUGCGGUGGAAGAGUAUAAAAGAGCUUUCAGUUCCAGCUUUGUUGACUCAUCGUAUAUCAAACUUGCACUUCAGAUUGUAUAUUUACUAUUCACAAGUGACCUAGAACCUAGAACCUGAAGAAGAAGAUUUGCAAGCUGUAGCUGAUGACCUAAGAGAUCGUCUGUCUCCCGGACAUCAACAACUGCAGGAUAUCCUAGUGAAUACUGCUAAGGAUAUCAAUAGCGGUAGAUCUUUAAUUUUACAAGCCACCCAAAGCUGAGGAUCUUUCACAAGUUAAUACAUCAAAGGCAUGGCAAUACUUCAAAAAUUGCUUUAGAGAUCCAUCAAGCUUUCGAGUUAUUAUAAUUGGGAAGUUCGAUUCUGCUUCUGUUGAUUCUCUUCUGUCCCGUUAUUUGGGUGGAAUACCAAGGCCUUCUAUGCCUAUAAUGGAAUUUCAACGUGGGAAGCUCACACCAGCACCUUUCCAUUUCCCUCCGGCUGUGACAAUGGAGGAAGUGCCUAUGGCUAUGGACAGUGGCAAUGGAGUUUAUAAUUGUGUAAGGUUUCCCCUUUAUCUGGAGAGUGAGACAUUGGAUGAAGAUCGCUAUUUCUUGGAGAUUUUGAGGGGACUCAUGAGAAUUAAAGUGAUGAAUAUACUUCGUCACAAAAAAAGA